rnacentral:lncRNA from 1 species
AUGCUUUUUGAGAAAGUCUGGUUUCAAAGAAAACGAGAUGAGAAAAAGUGGGGUGAAACUGCCUGGAGAUCUUCAGUGCACCUAGCACUACAAAUGGAAAAGCUCAUCCUAAAGGAGGGAAGGAGUGGCAGAAGACAGAUCAGCUUUACACACCCUGUGGAGGAGGUGGGCGGAAAGAAAGGAAAGGAGUAAGACCUGGGAAGUUGCAGAAAACAAUACCUGUCUGAAGUUAAGGAAACGGAAAUAAAUGACCAGUUGAUAAAGGAAUGUGUACUUGGAACAAAUCAAGUUAUGUGUGAAAAGAAUGGAGAGGAAUGAUAUUUCUGAGAAGCCUACGUGUAUUGGCUUUGUUAACAAAGUUUGGAGUCAUGGUAACACCUUUGUGCUUCAUGAGAGUGAUUGUGGUGGCUUUUCUAAUUACAACGUGUUCAACCAUUUCAGCAAGCAGACAUUGGAGUAGAAAUGCAACUCUGAUGUGUGUUAAUUAAAAGCAGUGGAAAUCUGAAUUAUGCUAUUGUAAAAGGGGCAACAUUUGGACGUUGUAGCAAAGAAUUUGCUUCUAAAAGAAAAGAAUAUAUAGGCAAAAAUACUGGUUUAUUUUUUUUUUACAACAAAAAUAAAUGUAGAUGACAUAAGUUAUCAUGUCUAUUGGACCAGUGCUAUUGGUGCAAUUUCACUGCACAAAGUUAGUAUGUCAUAGAAUAUAUCUAUUUAUCUAUAUUCUUCAAAAUCCACGGUCCAAUCAAUGUCCUUUUUCUUUAACUUGAAAAAGGAUGGGGAAAAAAUUUUGACUUCUGAGAUCAUCAUGCAAGGUCCCCACUGACAGCUGCAGGAGAAAAGGAAAAACUAAAUGAGGUGUUUACUGGCUUGCAAUUCCUAAUUUUUGGUACCAAAGGCUAUUGUUGACAGUCUUAUUUGUUUUCAGAAAGUUUAAUUUGUUGUGAUUUGGGGUUUAUUUGUUCUCAGAAAGGAAUCAUUGUAUUAGUAUAGUAAUUGGUAGGAGAGCUGCCUGAGGCUGCCCUCAUGGUAUGCCCUCAAAGGCAAGCUCCGGAUCUAUUCUCUGUAGCACCUUUUGUUUUUCUGUCCUUUCCUGAUUUGUGAGGGUGUGAGCAGCCUUGGAAAACACAGUUCCAGGAAAAAAAUCAAAUAACAAAACCUCACUUUCAUUCUACCUGAGGCAGCAAAGCACCAAAAGGUUACUACCUAGAAAAUAGUGAUAUUAAUGGGGAGAUGUUUGUGAUACCAAACGGACUCUGCCAAAAAGGGAAGACUUAAAUGUAAGUAUAGUUUUAUUUUAACAGAAAGCCACAAGAAGCAUUUUCUCGAAGGGAGGAAAAAAAAAAAAGCUCAAGUAACUUGUGCCUAAAUCCUUGAGGGGAACUCAACGGCAGCCAAAAAGCUGAUCAAAGGUGAACAAAAUCCAAUACCUGCCGGGGCUAUUUACCAACUAGGGCCAGGCAGGCUCGUG